GACGAACGCUGGCGGCGUGCUUAACACAUGCAAGUCGAACGGAAAGGCCCUGCUUUUGUGGGGUGCUCGAGUGGCGAACGGGUGAGUAACACGUGAGUAACCUGCCCUUGACUUUGGGAUAACUUCAGGAAACUGGGGCUAAUACCGGAUAGGAGCUCCUGCUGCAUGGUGGGGGUUGGAAAGUUUCGGCGGUGGGGGAUGGACUCGCGGCUUAUCAGCUUGUUGGUGGGGUAGUGGCUUACCAAGGGUUUGACGGGUAGCCGGCCUGAGAGGGUGACCGGCCACAUUGGGACUGAGAUACGGCCCAGACUCCUACGGGAGGCAGAAGUGGGGAAUAUUGCACAAUGGGCGGAAGCCUGAUGCAGCAACGCCGCGUGCGGGAUGACGGCCUUCGGGUUGUAAACCGCUUUCGCCUGUGACGAAGCGUGAGUGACGGUAAUGGGUAAAGAAGCACCGGCUAACUACGUG
rnacentral:rRNA from 1 species